rnacentral:rRNA from 1 species
UACGUAGGGUGCAAGCGUUGUCCGGAAUCACUGGGCGUAAAGCGCACGUAGGCGGCUUCUUAAGUCAGGGGUGAAAUCCUGGAGCUCAACUCCAGAACUGCCUUUGAUACUGGGAGACUUGGAGUCCGGGAGAGGUGAGUGGAACUGCGAGUGUAGAGGUGAAAUUCGUAGAUAUUCGCAAGAACACCAGUGGCGAAGGCGGCUCACUGGCCCGGUACUGACGCUGAGGUGCGAAAGCGUGGGGAGCAAACAGG